rnacentral:rRNA from 1 species
GACGAACGCUGGCGGCGUGCCUAAUACAUGCAAGUAGAACGCUGAGGACUGGUGCUUGCACCGGUUCAAGGAGUUGCGAACGGGUGAGUAACGCGUAGGUAACCUACCUCAUAGCGGGGGAUAACUAUUGGAAACGAUAGCUAAUACCGCAUGACAAUGGAGGACCCAUGUCUUUCAUAUCAAAGAUUUAUCGCUUUAGAGAUGGACUCGCGUCCGAUUAGCUUGUUGGCGGGGUAACGGCCCACCAAGGCGACGAUCGGUAGCCGGACUGAGAGGUUGAACAGCCACAUUGGGACUGAGACACGGCCCAG